rnacentral:lncRNA from 1 species
GAGAGUCAAUACUUACAUUAUUUAUUCUUUUCAAUAAAAACUAAUUAAAGCUACUUAAGUUUUUAGUGAUGGGCCUGGGAAUGUAGUCAUGCAAGUGCAGAUUUAGCAGGCCAUUAAUUGAGUUCUCGAUAAGGAUCUGAAUGAAGAAUGAAUCAAUCGCUUCUGGAUAUGAGCUCAUUUGGCCCCACUGUCUACAAACUGGCAGUGAAGGAAGCCUAAGAUUUUGUCUUCUCUCUGUCUUCUUAUCUUUCAGCCCCUGGGAUACAAGAAAAAAGAACACAACAUUCUUUCAAAGGCAUUGCUGGGAGCUCUCAGAGAUGUCACUUACAUUAGGUCCUCAUCUAAUCAUCACAACAAACGGAGAGAAUACAAACAAGUGAUUUUUUCAAGUUUGUUCUUGGAGAUCUGAAAAUGUAAAGGUUCUAGUUCAGUUUGCCUCAAAUAUAAGCAGAUGCAAUAAACUACAUUCUUUUUUUAAAAAAAAAAAAUUG